GGUAACAGUGCGGAGGCUGGAUGAGUCACUUGGAGAAAAGAAGACCACAUUCCAGAGGGUUCCAUGAUGUGGACACUUUCAGCAGGUGGUGAGGGCUAGCGAUAUGUGGCGUGGUACCCUCUCUUGAUGCUGGGCAGUGGCGGUGAGCACAGCUCCCAGUUAGCCAUGCGAUCAUCAGGAUAUGUGUGACUCAGGACACCAUGUUGUCAGAUCUUCACCAUCCUAAGCACAAUGUAACAACCCAUAAUGGCUAAGUAGUGUCCCGGUAACAUGGAGGAAUGAAAAAGUUGUGUAAAUGGCAUCAAGAUUGUCUUAAGAUUAUCAAGCUAAUAGAAGCAAUAAACAUCACCAGUUGUUUUAGGAUUUAUUCUUCAAGGGAGGGUUUGCACUUAAAGGGACAUUAUCUCUUCCAACUAAUACCAAUGAACAAGAGUAAUGAAACAAAGAGGCAUAAUUUCUACCACCAGAAAACUCUUACAUAUGUAGUUUUUAAAAUGUACACUAUGCAGUAAAAGAUACGAAAUCCAAUAUUAGACUAGGUAUGUAAAAUCAGAAAUAUUUUUCUCCAGAGACCCAGAGAACUUGAGGUAGUCAUUGUCCUCAAAGCCCUUUGCACAUCAAGAUAUGCAAGGUCCAACUGCUUCACUUGGAAUUCAAGUCUUCCAAAAUAUAGUCCCAGCUUUAUGUGCUACUAAAGAUCUGCAUUCAACCUUUCAAGGUCCUUAACACUGAUAUGAUUAUGAUGUCUCACCUCUAUCCUCCAUAAAUAUAAAACAGGAUCACAAGCAUAGGCAACAAAAACAACACUAGACAAAUGGGACUAUGUUGAACUAAAUAGCUUCUGCACAGCAUCUACACACAAUCAACAGUGUGAAGAGACAGCCUGGUGAAUUGGAGAAAAUAUUUGCAAACUAUUAAUGUGACAAAGGACUAAUAUCCAGAAUGUACAAGGAACUCAAACAACCCAACAGUUGAAAAAAAACCCAUAUAAUCCCAUUAAAAAGUGAGCAAAGGACAUGAAUAGACAUUUCUCAAAAGAAGACAUACAAAUGGCCAACAGGUACAUGAAAAAAUGCUCAACAUCACUAAUCAUCAGGGAAAUGCAAAUCGAAAUCCACAAUGAGACAUUUUCUUACCCCUGUUAGAAUGGCUACUAUUAAAAAGACAAAAAAAAAAUAGUAACAGAUGCUGGCAAGGAUCUGUU
rnacentral:lncRNA from 1 species